rnacentral:rRNA from 1 species
AGUGAACGCUGGCGGCAGGCCUAACACAUGCAAGUCGAACGGCAACACAGUAAGAGCUUGCUCCUACGGGUGGCGAGUGGCGUAAUGCUGCGGAAUACGUCGGAAGCUACUGGUUCGUGGGGGGUAACGUAGGCUAACUUCCCCUAUGACCGCAUACGACAUACGGGUGAAAGCACGGGAUCUUCUGACCUUGCGCGAUUGAAUGAGCCGAUGUCGGAUUAGCUAGUUGGCGGGGUAAAGGCCCACCAAGGCGACGAUCUGUAGCUGGUCUGAGAGGAUGACCAGCCACACUGGAACUGAGACACGGUCCAGACUCCUACGGGAGGCAGCAGUGGGGAAUAUUGGACAAUGGGCGCAAGCCUGAUCCAGCCAUGCCGCGUGGGUGAAGAAGGCCUUCGGGUUGUAAAGCGCUUUUGUUGGGAAAGAAAAGCAGCAGGCUAAUACCCCGCUGUUCUGACGGUACCGAAAGAAUAAGCACCGGCUAACUACGUG